ACAUAGUUUUUAAAAGGUGUUUAUAGUAUAGCUGUGUAUGCAGGUUGUUUCAUUACAGAAAACUGAUAUCUUUAGAUGCAAAAGGAACGAUGUGUUGAAGCAGCCCCAAUGUUCACUCUAAUUAAUAACGGGUAAUAAUGCGCAUUUAGCACUGUCUUCUACCUUGUAUCCAUUUAUUUUGGAUAUAAUAAAUCAAACAAGGAUAGCUUGGGGCUGUGUUUGGUUAGGUAAUGGUAAUCUCCAAGGAAACCCAUAGCAAGGGUACUAAGGGGAAAAAUAUAAUCUUACAUCAGCACCCCAAGCACCCCCCACAUGCAGGCUUCUCUUUAACUAAAUAGCUUUUAAAAGGAUAAGAACCCUCUCUACAUUUAGAGGUGGCAAUCCGAGAUGACCAGAGGGAACCCUUAAAUCUAGUUCUUUUGGCAGCUUCUUUGCUACCACUGAUACAACAGAGUCCUAUCUGAUAUACUUCCCCAUAGCCAUUAACGGGGGCUGGGGUGGGAGAGUAGUUUUUACUAGAUUACCUGCUGCAGAAUUACAGAUUACUGUAUUAGUAAUAUCACUGUCUGUAAUUCAACUGUAUCCUAAAUUUCCACCGGAGUAAAAAUUAAUUGAGAGGAGUUCAGGCACCAUCUGUCUGUCAUGAAUGCCAUGUUUUAUGACUUCUCGUGUAUUUCUUUAAUCCUUUAAUUCUAUUAAUUCAUUUAACAAGACACACAAUUAAUGAAGAAGGGGGAAAAACACCCAUUAAAUACAUGACAUUGCAGCAUUAUUAACCCACUCAAGCAGAUUGCUCUUAUAUCUCAUGCUUACUGGAAAGCAUACUGCUCCAACAUACUUUAAAAAAAAUAAAAGCCAACACUGUCUUAUUUGCAAAAGUGCAUCAGUUUUUGCAAUUAAUUAGAACCCCAUUGCUCUUCCCCCUUAUCCUGUCGAUCAGGCCCUUGGUUUUCUGUUUGUAGGUCAGAUACUUUGAAUUCACCAGUGUGCCUCAACAUGAGCCACACCCUUCAAACAAUGCAUCUCUGUCUGCUCCUCGGAGCAGCAUUACUCGUACUACCUCACUGUGACCCAUCUGAGAAGCUAUCCACAAUGGAGCUGUCCCGUCCUUUAAGGGGAAAAAAACACCCAGGAUAGAUGAAUUUGAUACAAGCAACACUCAACUUAUUUGGCAGCUCGCCACAAGACUCAAGGACAGAAUCGAAUCCCUGGAGGAAAUAUUUUGCCCUGAAAAGGGACACAGUGUUCAGCUUAGUUGGGAAUGCAAGUGGAAUAUAUCACUGUGCCCUUAUGACUGAAUGAAACUUUUCAUGGCCAAACUCAAACAAUGGAAUGAGGAAAUUGUUCAAUGCAUUAGUGAGAUCAAAACAUUACUCUCCAUAACAGUACAUUUUUCUCUCUUUUAAAUAUUUCAAUUUUUAACAGAUGAAGCAGAGCAUCAAGGCUCCCCAUGCAGUUGAAAUCGAAACGGUAACAGGCUCAAAAAUCUCAUCCUGAGAAAGAUUUAAUUGGUUCACUCUUAAGGCAAAAAGAGUAUCAAGUGUAGUUUCAUUAUUAUUAUUUUGUGAGAGAGGCUGAGGAGAGAGGAGCUCCUUACUCCUCCCUUUUCUGCUGAUAAUUGCAUAGCCAAGCUGCUUCUUUCCCUGGGAGGAAGAGGUACCUUGCAAAGAAGAGGUAUCAUUUCCCCAGCAGGGGUGAAUGUCGCUGACAGUGGAGGGGAUGAUUUUCAACAGAAAAAUGACACAAAAGGAAAGAGUUAAAAAAUAUUCCUGAAAUACCAAGGGAAAGUGUGGGUGUAUGGAGCCCAAGUUGUAAGCGACCCACAGUUUGCAAGACUUAGAACACCUUUAUAGCUGACAUAGCACACAAGUUAAGGUGGGUACUGUAACUUACCAUCUCCAUGCUUUUUGUUGCACAAAUCAGUUUGCAAAAGCCUUAACUUUUCUCUUAAACUGGAGUUUAUAAAACAAAAUAAAAGUGUAGAAACUU